rnacentral:rRNA from 1 species
GAUGAACGCUAGCGGCAGGCCUAACACAUGCAAGUCGAGGGGUAUUUGGAGCUUGCUCCAAAGAGACCGGCGCACGGGUGCGUAACGCGUAUGCAAUCUACCUUGUACUGAGGGAUAGCCCGGAGAAAUCCGGAUUAAUACCUCAUGGUUAAUUUAGUUGGCAUCGAUUGAAUUAUAAAGAUUUAUCGGUACAAGAUGAGCAUGCGUCCCAUUAGCUAGUUGGUAUGGUAACGGCAUACCAAGGCGAUGAUGGGUAGGGGUCCUGAGAGGGAGAUCCCCCACACUGGUACUGAGACACGGACCAGACUCCUACGGGAGGCAGCAGUGAGGAAUAUUGGUCAAUGGACGGAAGUCUGAACCAGCCAUGCCGCGUGCAGGAAGACGGCCCUAUGGGUUGUAAACUGCUUUUAUACGGGAAGAAACCUCUCUACGUGUAGAGACUUGACGGUACCGUAAGAAUAAGGAUCGGCUAACUCCGUGCCAGCAGCCGCGGUAAUACGGAGGAUUCGAGCGUUAUCCGGAAUCAUUGGGUUUAAAGGGUCCGUAGGCGGGUUAGUAAGUCAGGGGUGAAAGUUUUCGGCUUAACCGAAAAAUUGCCUUUGAUACUGCUAGUCUUGAAUAUUUGUGAAGUAACUAGAAUAUGUGGCGUAGCGGUGAAAUGCAUAGAUAUCACAUGGAAUACCGAUUGCGAAGGCAGGUUACUAACAGAUCAUUGACGCUGAUGGACGAAAGCGUGGGUAGCGAACAGGAUUAGAUACCCUGGUAGUCCACGCCGUAAACGAUGGAUACUAGCUGUUUGGACAGAUUGAUGUUUGAGUGGCUAAGCGAAAGUGAUAAGUAUCCCACCUGGGGAGUACGUUCGCAAGAAUGA